UGGAUCCAGACUUUGAUCAUGGCUCAGGACGAACGCUGGCGGCGUGCCUAAUACAUGCAAGUCGAGCGAGCUUGCCUAGAUGAUUUUAGUGCUUGCACUAAAUGAAACUAGAUACAAGCGAGCGGCGGACGGGUGAGUAACACGUGGGUAACCUGCCCAAGAGACUGGGAUAACACCUGGAAACAGAUGCUAAUACCGGAUAACAACACUAGACGCAUGUCUAGAGUUUGAAAGAUGGUUCUGCUAUCACUCUUGGAUGGACCUGCGGUGCAUUAGCUAGUUGGUAAGGUAACGGCUUACCAAGGCAAUGAUGCAUAGCCGAGUUGAGAGACUGAUCGGCCACAUUGGGACUGAGACACGGCCCAAACUCCUACGGGAGGCAGCAGUAGGGAAUCUUCCACAAUGGACGAAAGUCUGAUGGAGCAACGCCGCGUGAGUGAAGAAGGGUUUCGGCUCGUAAAGCUCUGUUGGUAGUGAAGAAAGAUAGAGGUAGUAACUGGCCUUUAUUUGACGGUAAUUACUUAGAAAGUCACGGCUAACUACGUGCCAGCAGCCGCGGUAAUACGUAGGUGGCAAGCGUUGUCCGGAUUUAUUGGGCGUAAAGCGAGUGCAGGCGGUUCAAUAAGUCUGAUGUGAAAGCCUUCGGCUCAACCGGAGAAUUGCAUCAGAAACUGUUGAACUUGAGUGCAGAAGAGGAGAGUGGAACUCCAUGUGUAGCGGUGGAAUGCGUAGAUAUAUGGAAGAACACCAGUGGCGAAGGCGGCUCUCUGGUCUGCAACUGACGCUGAGGCUCGAAAGCAUGGGUAGCGAACAGGAUUAGAUACCCUGGUAGUCCAUGCCGUAAACGAUGAGUGCUAAGUGUUGGGAGGUUUCCGCCUCUCAGUGCUGCGGCUAACGCAUUAAGCACUCCGCCUGGGGAGUACGACCGUAAGGUUGCAACUCAAAGGAAUUGACGGA
rnacentral:rRNA from 1 species